UCCCUGGUGGCUCAGACGGUAAAGCGUCUGCCUGCAAUGCAGGAGACCUGGGUUUGAUUCCUGGGUAGGGAA
rnacentral:tRNA from 1 species